GUGGGUAUAGCUCAGUGGUAGAGCGCAUGCUUAGCAUGCACAAGGUCCUGGGUUCAAUUCCUAGCACCUCUG
rnacentral:tRNA from 1 species